ACCCAUUUCUUCUCUCUCAUAUCUCCUUCUUCCUUAUUCUUCCCCUCCCUUGUUCUGCCACCCCGUCCCCUGCCCCCUUUUCCUCCAUUCCCAUCCCCUUCCCCUUCCCUCCAAUUUCGUCCUUCCGUGGCCUCAAGGCCAGAUUUGUCCUCAUUCUUUUCUCUUCUUUGAUCUCUUUUUUUCCAAUAAAUAUUACCAUAAUCCAGAUCUAACAAAAAAAACAACUGAUAUUAAGAUCCGCAUAUUGUGUGAAUAUUUUUGUGGUGAUUGUGAAACUAGAGGCUUAAAGUUGACGAUGAGGAGGCGUGCUCAAUUGCUUGAUUUGAAGGAAAAAGGAGCUUAAAAUUAGACUAGGAGGACUUGAUUUUGCUCAAAAUUUCACUCAAGAACGCACUAAGGAGCUUAAAGCACAACGAAAAUUUAUUGAUGAAAGGGUUAGGGAACUUGAAUUGAAGGUGAGCAAUUCAUUAAUGUGAAACCAAAGAAAUUUAUAGAGGUAAUUUUCUAAUAUAUAUAAGUCUUAUAUAUUUAUAUAUAACUUGAUUAUACAUGGAUUGUUCUGGGAUUUUGUUUCUCCAGUGGAUUUAAUAUAUAAUUUUUGAA
rnacentral:lncRNA from 1 species